rnacentral:rRNA from 1 species
AGUUUGAUCCUGGCUCAGGAUGAACGCUAGCGGCAGGCUUAAUACAUGCAAGUCAAGGGGGUAGCAAUACAACCGGCGCACGGGUGAGUAACGCGUACACAACAUACCAUAUACUGGGGUAUAGCUUCGGGAAACUGGAGAUAAUCCCCCAUAACAUUGCGAGAGGGCAUCUGAUUGCAAUUAAAGUUUCGACGGUAUAUGAUUGGUGUGCGUUUGAUUAGCUUGUUGGUAGGGUAACGGCCUACCAAGGCGACGAUCAAUAGCUGGCGUGAGAGCGCGACCAGCCACACUGGAACUGAGACACGGUCCAGACUCCUACGGGAGGCAGCAGUAGGGAAUAUUGGACAAUGGGCGAAAGCCUGAUCCAGCCAUGCCGCGUGAUAGAUGAAGGCCCUCUGGGUUGUAAAUAUCUUUUAUCUGGGAAGAAACUCCUCUAUUCUUAGAGGCCUGACGGUACCAGAGGAAUAAGCACCGGCUAACUCCGUG